GAGGAAUUGCUUUUUUUGCAUACUUCAAUAGGGAUGGAGAAUAUUACAUAUUACACCAAACAUUAAAAUUUAAAUCCUAGCUACCUCUGGCUCUGUGUAACUGCCCACUCUGAACUGAAGAAUUCCUUGUAUUUCACAAUAUCUCUUGGAAUAUCACAAUACGUGAAAAAGUAAUGAAAACAAUGUCAAAUUCGUUUGGUUUUACGACUACUGGAUUUUAGCUGCCUUCUCUCUGGGAACAAGGGAAUAUCUAUAGCCCAAAGUGGAAACAAUCGAUUUGUAAACAAAAUUUUACAAAAAUAUGGCGGCCUCAUGGGGACGACAUUUUCGAAGAAUCCUCUCGUUUUCACAUGAAAGAAAUGUGUGGACUUUUGGAUAUUAUUCUACUAAUGAACAAACAUUUAGAGUUUUCAGACCAUUAUUUGCAGCUCGAUCUUGCCAAUCCAAAACUUUUCAAACAUCGUGCACCUGCACCUCAGGUGAGUUGAUCUGUUGAUGCUGAUCAGUGAUCAUGCUGUGAACUAACCUGUCUUAGGUCUGUUUUAUACGUCGAAUUUCGGUCGCGUCGAAUGCAAUUCAAACAAUAGAUA